CUACUAAAACGGAAGACUCUCUCUCUCUCUCUCUCUCUCUCUCUCACGCACAACACGCUGCAAAUUCCUUUAUUUAAACCAGCAAUUACGCAAUAUAAGAGCUUCACCGAUGAUACAAUUAUUACUGCUAUUCUCCAAAAUCUAUUGGCUUUCAUGGAUACAAUAAACUCAUCUUCUUCCUCUUCUUCUACCCAUCAGUGGAAAUAUCAUGUAUUUCUAAGUUUUAGAGGUGAGGAUACGCGCAACAAUUUUACAGACCAUAUAUAUGCUGCCUUGAAUCAAAAGGGUGUCUACACCUUUAGAGAUGAUGAAAAACUUGAGAGAGGAGAACCUAUUUCACCUAUGCUUUUAAAAGCAAUAGAAGACUCACUAUUUGCUAUUGUCGUUCUCUCAAAAAACUAUGCAUCCUCGACAUGGUGUUUGGAUGAACUUGUGAAGAUCAUGGAUUGCAAGAAAAAUAUGGGGCUAAUAGUUCUGCCUAUUUUUUAUGGCGUGGAACCAACAGUGGUGCGAGAACAGACCGAAACUUAUGCAGAGGCGUUUGUUGAACAUGAAAAACCUUUCAAUAAGAAUUUAAAAAAAGUUCACACGUGGCGAGCUGCUUUGACAGAUGUCUCCAAUCUCUCAGGAUGGUCUUUAAAGGACGGGUAAUUGCCACUAAAACAUUAUUUCCACUGAAUUUAAAUUACCAUUUGCUUUGAAUUACUAGAUCUAUAUUGUAUUUGACAUGAUUCUAAAGCAUUUGACAUGACAACAAGGGGGCCGUCCAAUAUUUGACUGUAUACUUGCUAUAAUAAAUAUAAUAAUACAACAAUGGGGCAGUACUUUUAUUUUA